GACGAACGCUGGCGGCGUGCCUAAUACAUGCAAGUUGAGCGAUGAAGAUUGGUGCUUGCACCAAUUUGCAGAGCAGCGCACGGGUGAGUAACGCGUGGGGAAUCUGCCUUUGAGCGGGGGACAACAUUUGGAAACGAAUGCUAAUACCGCAUAACAACUUUAAACAUAAGUUUUAAGUUUGAAAGAUGCAAUUGCAUCACUCAAAGAUGAUCCCGCGUUGUAUUAGCUAGUUGGUGAGGUAAAGGCUCACCAAGGCGAUGAUACAUAGCCGACCUGAGAGGGUGAGCGGCCACAUUGGGACUGAGACACGGCCCAAACUCCUACGGGAGGCAGCAGUAGGGAAUCUUCGGCAAUGGACGAAAGUCUGACCGAGCAACGCCGCGGGAGUGAAGAAGGUUUUCGGAUCGUAAAACUCUGUUGGUAGAGAAGAACGUUGGUGAGAGUGGAAAGCUCAUCAAGUGACGGUAACUACCCAGAAAGGGACGGCUAACUACGUG
rnacentral:rRNA from 1 species